CAGAGAGAACGAAGGAAAGAAAAUGAAAAUGGAGAUUUUGAUUAAAAUUCUUCCAAAAUUCAUAACUUGAGCUAGAGACCUCCAAAUCACUCCGUUCCAAAGCCAAACCUGUGAGAAAUUUCGAGAGGAAUCUAUUGGUACCAGUAUUUCUGAGUGGGGUUCACUGUAGAGAGAGAUCUUCUCCCCCAAAGAAUUCGAAUUUCAUGGAAAAUAUGGGUUUUGAUGGAGCUUGAAGCCAUGGGAGCUUGAAGCAAGCUUCUCCCUUCAUUCUAGGUGUACCUAGGGACUGUGAACGUUUGGAUUCUCGUGGAGUAUGAUAAGUAGCUUGUUCUUCAAGUAAGCAGAUUGUAAAGCUCAAAGAGGAACACAGUUAAUUGAAGAGCCUCAUGGGACAAGGACACUAACCGUGGCUAGAGGUACUAGUAUGAGGAUGUGGAGUUCUGGGUGGUCGGAUGCUACUAUUUGUUUUAGACGUAUUUUUGGAAAAGAUGUAUUGUUGCAUAGUGUUCAUAUUCGAUACAUGUACAUUUAUGUAUUCAGGCAUGAUGAUAUGACUAUGUAGUAUUCAGUUAUGUUAUGUAUUGGAUUGCAUGCUAUUAGAUUUGUGGCAC